rnacentral:lncRNA from 1 species
CGUAUCUGCACGUGACAAACUGGCGAACUGUCAAUUCAGGGAGAGUGAGGACGAUGGUUGUUAAGGAAACUAAACGGUGAGCAGUCAACGCUGUGGGAUGUCUUCCAAAUUGACAACUAAGAUAUGGGAUAUGAACACAUUGUGUAAUAAGAGUGACAUAUGUCCUGAACAGUGAAAGAAGUGGGCAAAAUGUUUAAAGCCACAGUGCUAUACAAAUGAGAUACUGAUACAGAUUGUUCCUGCUUUAGUAUCACUAAAGAAGCUUCCAGAGAAUUGUGCUCAUCAGUCAAUCAUGAUACCUGAGAGUUAAUUGUAUGCAACUCACAGUAUAGAAGAGACUUGCGUGUUAUUUAGUGUUGUUUACAUAUUCUCUGUGUUAAUUAACCAUAAAGACAGUAACAAAAAUGAAAAA